ensembl:lncRNA
CGCGCGGGGCGGGGCGUCUGGGGGCACCGGAGGCCAUCUUGGGGGCGCUGGGGCUAGUGGCCUGCGGCUGUCCCCCGACCGGGGCUCGCGAGAGCCGCCUGCUUGAGCAUCUCCUCCGCUGCCCUUCACCUGCCCACCAGCGUACUCGCCGUCGUCGGCGCCUCCGUCACCUCUUCUCGCGUCUAUUUUCUGUUUUUCCCAGUCUGGGAUUCUCUCCCCAUCUCCUGUGUUCCACAAUUAUUUUCCAUCUUGACACCUUUUUUUUUUUUUUCUAAUAAUCGUCAUCUUCUAACUCAUGUAGUUUUAAAAAGUCAUUUUCAUCAUUUCGUCUCCCGACCCACGUUGAGCUCCGCCUCGGCGAGGUCUCCUGCCUGUUUGCUGCAGAACGCCCCGGACAGCGGCCGACGGUGAUUAGGUGCUGAUACCUAUUAGCUGAAUGAGUGACUGAGAACCGGACGGUAGAAACCUGCAGAAAGACUUCCCGAAUAGGAAAACCCACCAGAGCUGCAGUUUUCAGACUGGGUGGCAAAAUCAGUGGGACAAGGAGCAUUAGGAAAGGAAGAAGAAAGGAAAGAAGGAAGAAGCUGGAACAAAAGAGAAUGCAACGAUACCACCUAGGAGAAUCGGGAUUCUUUCCUGAAACUCGAAUCAUAAAAAGAAUACGGUGUGUUGUACAUUUGGAAUCGAGGUGUUGAAUACACGUCUUACUCGGGUUGCUGUCAAAAAAUGUUUGAAAGCCACUGGCCUGGACUUUUUCUUUUUCUUUCUUUUGAAUGCUUAGAGUAGAAAGGUUUGAAAAGCCAUCUAAUUUAUUUCUCUACGCCUAGACAGUAUUUCAUUUUAAGAACAGUACAGACUUUAAUUAUUUUCUUGCUUAUCGUCCCAUCUCAGCAUUUGCGCCUGAUGAUUUGUGAAUAAUUUGUCUCUUUAAAGCUAUUAUUUCAGUUGGGAAAGCGAUAAAUUAAAAUAGGAAGGCAAUUCUGCCAAGCUUCCCUUCUCUGUCUCCUCUUCUCCCCGUCAUCAGGCCGUGGACACAUUCCAAAUGCGCUGCGGGCCAAGCCUGGCAGGGUCCCCGAGCCCGCCUUCUGUCGCCCUGUCCUGUAAUCAAAUACCCCAGUGGAGCUACGGGUGGUUGUUUUGUAUUGAGGAUUGAACCCAGGGCCUUUGCACUGAAUUACUUACACCCUCAGCCCUUUUUAGUUUUCAUUUUGAGACAGGGUCUUGCCAAAUUGCCUGGCUGGGACUCCAACUUGCAGUCUUUCUGCCUCAGCCUCCCAGAGUGCAGAGCAUACAGGCUUAUACCACCACACCUUUUGUUUGUUUGUUCUUUGGUAUUAGGGAAUUGAACUCAGGACCUUGCACUUGCGAAGCAGGGCAGUACCACUGAGCUAAGUCCCCUAAGUCCCCGGCUUAAUGUUCCUUUUUUGAGUUCAAGUUCCACUAUGAAGUUCAACUUGGCCUUGAACUUGCUAUUGUACCUAGGCUGUCCUUGAACUCUCUAUCCUCCUGCUUCAGCCUCCCAAGGCAUAGGAAUACAGGUAUAUACCACCACCUCUGGCAAAUUUUAGUAUUUCUUUAUCUCAUUCCCUCUUUUUACUUAUUUUUUAAAAAAUUAUCCCCAUGGAUAGGUAAUAGAAACACCUGAUGUACUUGAAUUUGACUUUGUCCCUUCUCAGUAGGGUAGGUCCCUGUUGUGCUAAUCAGGG